UGUCAGUGCAUUCAGAACGGUC
rnacentral:piRNA from 1 species